CAGUUAACGAUGGAAGGCGUGCCGUAAUACAUGCACACUUGAGAAGUACGGACGGCGAACGCUUGAGUUAUCUUGAUGUUAGCGGCGGACGUGUGAGUAACAUGAGGAUAACAUACCUAUAAGACUUGGUAUAACUUCGUGAAGCAGGAGCUAAUACCGUAUAAUAUCAUGAGCCGCAUGGUUCAAAACUGAAAGUCGUUCUUCCUGUCACGAAUAGAUGGAUCCACGUUGCAUUAGCUAGUUGGUAAGGUAACGGCUCACCAAGGCAACGAUGCAUAGCUGAUCUGAGAGGAUGAUCAGCCACACUGGAACUGAGACACGGUCCAGACUCCUACGGGAGGCAGCAGUAGGGAAUAUUCCGCAAUGGGCGCAAGCCUGAUGCAGCCACGCCGCGUGAGUGAUGAAGGUCUUCGGAUCGUAAAACUCUGUUAUUAGGGAAGAAAUAUAUGUGUAAGUAUCCGUGCACAUCAUGACGGUACCUAAUCAGUAAGCCCCGGCUAACUUCGUGCCAGCAGCCGCGGUAAUACGUAGGUGGCAAGCGUUAUCCGGAAUUAUUGGGCGUAAAGCGCGCGUAGGCGGUUUUUUAAGUCUGAUGUGAAAGCCCACGGCUCAACCUGUGGAGGGUCAUUGGAAACUGGAAAACUAGAGUGCAGAAGAGGAAAGUGGAAUUCCAUGUGUAGCAGUGAAAUGCGCAGAGACAUGGAGGAACACCCAUGGCGAAGGCAACUUUCUGGUCCGUCACUGACGCUGAUGCGCGAAAGCGUGGGGAUCAAACAGGAUUAGAUACCCUGGUAGUCCACGCCGUAAACGAUGAGAGCUAAGUGUUAGGUGCAUUCCGCCCCUCAGUAUUGCAGCUAACGCAUUAAGCACUCCGCCUUGGGAG
rnacentral:rRNA from 1 species